AGGAAGCAGGCAGGGAUAGGCUGGCAGAAGUCAGUAGCAUGAGAGACAACAGCAGGUGCUUUACUUAGCUAAGUUCAAAAAGCAAGAUCUUUAUACAAGUAUAUGAAGAAAGACUGAAUGAAGACAAAGCAAGCAGAAACAAGCAAGUUAAAAAAUGGGACUGAUUAAAUGAAGACGUCUGUUGAUGAACUUGUUUUUUAUGGGGUUAUACAAGUCCAAGUUUGACAAAAAGAAGGCUACAAAAUUAAUUUUUUUGAACAGACACCAUAGAAGACACCUGGAAAAUAAUUAGAAUAACAAUAAAAGGCACUGAAACCAAA